UAAAUAGUUGUAUGAUUGGAAGUGGCACCUGUCAGUGCCAAGCACCGAGGACCUGAUCAUGAGAGACCAGUACCUGUUCCCAGGAAAACUAUCAGAAGACAUCAACCCCCGACUUGGCAAACCUCGGGUGAAUUUGCUAUGCGCCAGACCCCAGUGACACCAGAUUGGAUGUCAAGGGCAAGCUACCUGCAGGAAUUGGCCAAGGAAGGGAAUCUGGACAGAAUGCCAGAGAGAAUAUUGGAUUCUCUUUUGACCAUUGUAAGUGGGUCAACAUGAUGUUUUAUUUGUUAUUUUAGUAGUACAUGUAUGUUGUUUUUAUCCAUUUUCUUGUAGGUGUGCAACAUUGAUAUCUCCGUCACAACAAUGACACGGAGGUCAUUCAUCUGUGAGGGGGAGUGUGUCACAGGGUUAUAUUUUAUGUAAAAUCAUUGUAUGUUAUAUUUCAUGGAGUGUGCAUCUUUAAUGUACUGUUGGUAUUUGUUUGGUGUGAGAAACCUUAAUAGGAAUGAAAGGAAUGUGAGUAUGUAUGACAUGUGACCUGACAUGGACAAUUUCAUUGGACAGUUUUUACCUGUAUUGCAUGUUUUUAAUCCUCUUAGUAUUUCAAAUCACUUCUCUUCUGGCGCUCUAGCUGAAAACAAUCUGUAGAAGUCAGAGCCUAAAUUAUAUUGAAGAUCUGCUGGUGAUUACUUGUGAAUCUGGUUGGUGGUAAUGAAUAAUGUUCCGGAAACCUCCGCAUGAUAUGUGGGGGUUUUAUUAAUGGAUAAUAAAACUACCAUGAACAACAAAGUGGCAUUGGAUUAUAUAUACCCACACCUGUAACAUUUCUAGUAUCACUGGCGAGUUGUAGAAGGACGAAACAGAUGUAUGAUGUCUCUAGUAUCACUGACGAGUCCUAGAAGGACGAAACAGAUGUAUGGUGUCUCUAGUAUCACUGCCGAGUUGUAGAAGGAUGAAACAUGUGUAUGAUGUCUCUAGCAUCACUGACGAGUUGUAGAAGGACGAAAUAGCUGUAGGAUGCAUUCAAUUAAUUUUGAAUGUAUUGUAUCUGUAUCAAACUCACAAUUUGUAUUAAAUGAUGCUAAUAUUG